ACGUGUUAAAGUAAAGUUAGAAUACUAUGGUGGCGUGCCGGAGGGAAUAACGAGCAACCGACAAGUAGAAAUAGCUAAAUACACCUUUAAGCUAAUAGCGAUGUAACAUCCCGCUAUCAUAAGGUGAGUGAACUUGCACUAAAAUGCUUUGGGUAGAUAUACAUAUAUUCGAUUGAAUUACUUGAACUGUUUAAAUUGUCUUUUUCUACAAAAUACAUGGGAACAAGCUUUUAGUGAAAUGUCUUUGUGAUGUGGAACAUGAUUGUAAUGAAACUAUAUACCUCUAUAUGAUGCCGAUAUGUAUGUAAAGAUAUAUGAUGUGUAUUAUUAAGCAAAGUAAUUUUGUAUAAUGGAUGUAACCGUGCAUGUGCGGAGUGGGCAAUGCACAUGCCGAUUGAAUGAUGAGGUUUCGAUAGUUACAACCGUGCAUGUGCGAAGUGGGCAGUGCACAUGCUGAUUGAAUGAUGAUGUUGCGAUAAUUACUACUGUGCAUGUGCGGAGUGGGCAAUGCACAUGCCGAUUGAAUGAUGAUGUUGCGAUAAUUACUACCGUGCAUGUGCAGAAUGGGCAGUGCACAUGCCGGUAAUGAUGCAUAUGAGCUAGGUGAUGUGAUGGAGGUGUAUGUGCUUAUAUAUAUACAUGAUUACUAUAUAGAUAUGUUUUGAUUUAAAAUGUGAUCGCAUUCACUGUUGAUAACUUGAGUAUUGUCAAUGUGUUCAAUUUAAUUUGCAACGUGGCGUGAGUGGAUUUUCCCAAUGGCAGUGAAUACCCCUUGGAUUUUAUACGGCUAGAAUCUCGAUGUAGAAAAAAAUGCCUUUUGCUGCUAUGAGAGUCAAUCUAUUAUGUUUGACUUACUUGAAGUUUACAAAAGCUUUCACUUCUGAACUUCUUUGUUGUUCAUGAGUCUUUCGUUAUUAAGUGAUUAAAAGAUCAAGAUUUGAAAUGAGGGUUUUUAAUAAGGGUUAAGCUAAACUGUAUUGUUUUGAACUUAAAUGCAUCAUGAUUUUUUUAUAAAAAAAAAAACCUUCCUUAACGUUGCUUGUUCCCUUCCUAUGUUCACUCACUGAGUUUGUACUCAUGUUUUUAAAAAUUCAUCUUUUAGGUUUCCUGAGUUAAAGGUGGUUGGAUCCUAGGACGAGGUGCUCCUCCCUAUAUGUUGCUCAGUAGGUUUAACUUGCCUUUAAGUGUUAUCAAUCGUGUCCAGAGUCACUCCGCUGACGGUCGAAGUCUAAUUAUGUGUAUAUGGAUAUUUGAUGUGAAACAUUAAGGUUCAUUUGUUAUUCUAUAUAUGUAUAUAAUGGUUGAUGAAGCCAUUAUGAAUGCAUGACUGGGUUUUAUGAAUUGUUUUCAAAGGAAUUAUAAUUAAGUAUUACGAAUUUCGGAUUGUAAAGGAAUAUGGAUUAAUGUAUAAGAUCAUGUAAGUAGGCUUGCUUAGGCUUUGUGGGCUG
rnacentral:lncRNA from 1 species